rnacentral:lncRNA from 1 species
CAUUUCCUCUUCUUCCCACUGCUUCCUUGGUACGAAUCAUCAUUGGACGUGGUCGAGGAAGAGGUGGAAGUGGAGAAAAGAUUGGAUGAAAUAUUAAAGAAACAAGGAUUAAUGGAAUGGAGAGGAGGAACCGGUUGGGUAGACAAGGUAGGGUUGAUGGAAGGUACAGUGGCAUGGGAUUGAGGUACAUUGGUAGGGUUCAUGACAGAAGCGGACGUUGGGGUUGGAGUUUGAGGUUUAGGAGGUGACAGUGGAUGAAGUGAAUGAAGGUUUUGAAAGGCUUCUAAUUCAUCAAAGAAACGAUAAGUCUUGGUCUUGCCAUCAGCUUUGCUG